GAAAUGCGAUAAGUAAUGUGAAUUGCAGAAUUCAGUGAAUCAUCGAAUCUUUGAACGCACCUUGCGCUCCUUGGUAUUCCUUGGAGCAUGCCUGUUUGAGUAUCAUGAAAUCUUCAAAGUAAAUCUUUUGUUAACUCAAUUGGCUUCUACUUUGGUAUUGGAGGUCUUUGCAGCUUCACACCUGCUCCUCUUUGUUCAUUAGCUGGAUCUCAAUGUUAUGCUUGGUUCCACUCGGCGUGAUAAGUUAUCUAUCGCUGAGGACACUGUAAAAGGUGGCCAAGGUAAAUGCAGAUGAACCGCUUCUAAUAGUCCAUUGACUUGGACAAUACUUUUAUGAUCUGAUCUCAAAUCAGGUAGGACUACCCGCUGAACUUAAGC
rnacentral:misc_RNA from 1 species